UACUCCUACGGGAGGCAGCAGUGGGGAAUAUUGGACAAUGGGGGGAACCCUGAUCCAGCCAUGCCGCGUGUGUGAAGAAGGCCUUAUGGUUGUAAAGCACUUUAAGCGAGGAGGAGGCUACUGAGACUAAUACUCUUGGAUAGUGGACGUUACUCGCAGAAUAAGCACCGGCUAACUCUGUGCCAGCAGCCGCGGUAAUACAGAGGGUGCGAGCGUUAAUCGGAUUUACUGGGCGUAAAGCGUGCGUAGGCGGCUUUUUAAGUCGGAUGUGAAAUCCCCGAGCUUAACUUGGGAAUUGCAUUCGAUACUGGGAAGCUAGAGUAUGGGAGAGGAUGGUAGAAUUCCAGGUGUAGCGGUGAAAUGCGUAGAGAUCUGGAGGAAUACCGAUGGCGAAGGCAGCCAUCUGGCCUAAUACUGACGCUGAGGUACGAAAGCAUGGGGAGCAAACAGGAUUAGAUACCCUGGUAGUCCAUGCCGUAAACGAUGUCUACUAGCCGUUGGGGCCUUUGAGGCUUUAGUGGCGCAGCUAACGCGAUAAGUAGACCGCCUGGGGAGUACGGUCGCAAGACUAAAACUCAAAUGAAUUGACGGGGGCCCCCACAAGCGGUGGAGCAUGUGGAAUC
rnacentral:rRNA from 1 species